rnacentral:rRNA from 1 species
AGCCACGAAACGGUCGAUCGGGCGCGAGCCCGGCAGCCACGACCGGGCAGCGAAAGGGAAUUGGGAACCUCCUUCCCAAACCCGGAACCGGAACGAGGGCGGCGACGCGAACGAAACGGCCGCGGAGACGGCGGCCGCGGCCCCGGAGAGAGUUCUCUUUUCUGUGCGACUGGACGUCGGCCCCGGAAUCGCGUCGAGCGGGAGGGGGGGUCGGAGUUCAGGAAUAGCACCUCGGCCUUUCGGGGUGUCCGGGCGGCCGCGGUCGUCCCAUGAAAAUCCGCGGAUGAACGAGUAGGCGACGGUCCGGGUCGUACCAAUGACCGCAUCGGGUCUCCAAGGUUGAAAGCCUCUGGGCUAACGGGACAACGUAGGUAAGGGAAGUACGGCAAAAUUGGAUCCGUAAACUUCGGGGAAAAGGAUUGGGCUCUAAAAGGGUCGGGCCCGGGGGGUCCGAGGGCGUCCGCCGUGCGGCCUCGACUCGGGGGACCGCCGCUUCGGCGGCGGGC